rnacentral:rRNA from 1 species
CCUACGGGAGGCAGCAGUGGGGAAUAUUGCACAAUGGGGGAAACCCUGAUGCAGCGACGCCGCGUGAGUGAAGAAGUAUUUCGGUACGUAAGGCUCUAUCAGCAGGGAAGAAAAUGACGGUACCUGACUAAGAAGCCCCGGCUAACUACGUGCCAGCAGCCGCGGUAAUACGUAGGGGGCAAGCGUUAUCCGGAUUUACUGGGAGUAAAGGGAGCGUAGACGGCAGCGCAAGUCUGGAGUGAAAUCCCAUGGCUUAACCAUGGAACUGCUUUGGAAACUGUGCAGCUAGAGUGCAGGAGAGGUAAGCGGAAUGCCUAGUGUAGCGGUGAAAUGCGUAGAUAUGAGGAGGAACACCAGUGGCGAAGGCGGCUUACUGGACUGUAACUGACGUUGAGGCUCGAAAGCGUGGGGAGCAAACAGGAUUAGAUACCCCUGUAGUC